UACGUAGGGGGCUAGCGUUGUCCGGAAUCAUUGGGCGUAAAGAGCGUGUAGGCGGCCCGGUAAGUCCGCUGUGAAAGUCGGGGGCUCAACCCUCGGAUGCCGGUGGAUACUGUCGGGCUCGAGUGCGGAAGAGGCGAGUGGAAUUCCUGGUGUAGCGGUGAAAUGCGCAGAUAUCAGGAGGAACACCAAUUGCGAAGGCAGCUCGCUGGGACGUUACUGACGCUGAGGCGCGAAAGCGUGGGGAGCAAACAGG
rnacentral:rRNA from 1 species